GCGCUGGAGUUAGCGUUGUGGGCGACUUCGGUCAAGGUCAAGGAGGAAAAGGCAAGGCUCCCAUGUACGGGUGACGGUGGAUGAGGCGAAGGGCCAUGGAAACCUUGAGGAGGGUUUGUUGUGUCGUAGCGCCUGUUGGGUUCUCUUGGGUUCUUAGUUUUGCGAAGUGUUUGUUUAGUCUCUGUUGAUUACUUCUAGGCUAGGUUGUCGCAAUUGAUUUUCUAGGUAUGAACUGCUUAAAUUGAUGAAUGCAUUUUCGUUAUCGAGAC